GUGCCCGUAGCUCAGCUGGAUAGAGCGCGGGGCUCCGGACCCCGAGGUCGGGGGUUCGAAUCCCCCCGGGCACACCA
rnacentral:tRNA from 1 species